rnacentral:lncRNA from 1 species
CUGCUGAUAUGUAUGGUAGGCUUGACUACUGUUUAGAAGAUUUGUUGGCAGUGGUUGACAGUGAUUUACUUGGAGAUGUUGCAGAACAAAAGGAAGUUGAAAAACUUGCCUCCAAAAUGAAAGAGACAAAGAAGAGAAUGUCGUUUGAGACUCUUAAGCUGAUUGCUCAAAGUAUUACAUUCAAGACCGAUUUACUGAAGAAGAUAAUCUCACCUGUUUCUUUACAUCUUCAGAAGCAACUUACUCCAAAGUUGAAAACCAGACUUGAGAUGAUGCUACACAACAUAGCCUUAGGGAUUGAGUGCAACUCAUCUACUGAAACAUCAAACUUGUUUAUCUUCGUAUAUUGUCUUAUUGAGGAUACUAUUACAGGAAGCAGAUCUGAAUGCAAAGAGAAUACACAAUCUAGUCCUGAUCAAGACAGUACUGUAAGAAAGACCUUCCUGGGACUAGGUGAGAGUGGAUCACAGAAUUCUUAUAUACUUACCAAGUUUGCACUUGACUUACUUCGUAAUCGUCUGAAGAGCAUCAAGCUUGACAAGGAAGAUGAACAACUCGUGAAGAUGUUGGAUCCUUUUGUUGACCUUCUGCGAAAGUGUAUGAGUUCGAAACAUGCAAGUGUCCUCUCAGCCACAUUUAGAUGUUUUGCCUUGUUGGUGAAACUUCCGUUGCCAUCUCUGAGGGACAAUGCAAUUACUAUAAAAAAUGUACUUAUGGAGAUUUUACAGAGAGCUGGAAACUCCAAUGGUCAUUUAGUCACAUCUUGUUUUAAGCUACUUGCUGAUCUACUUAGAGGAUUCAGGAUUUCACUUUCAGAUAAUGAGCUUCAGAUGCUUGUUCAUACCCCUAUGUUUGUAGAUCUUCAGACAAACCCUUCCCCUGUUGCCUUAUCGCUUCUCAAAACAAUAGUCAGGCUAAAAUUGGUUUCUCACGAAAUUUAUGAUAUAGUUGUUAAGAUAGGAGAGUUGAUGGUAACAACAUUAACUGAAUCUAUACAGCAGCAAUGCAUUCAAAUUAUGCUACAAUUUUUUCUGAACUAUCCACUUUCUGAGAAGCGCUUACAGCAACAUAUUGACUUUUUCCUGGCAAACUUAAGGUAUGAUGAAUAUCCAUAGUUACUUUAUCAUGAUAUCUCACUGUAUGCUAACACUCUGGAAAAUUGCAGUUAUGAACAUCCUUCAGGAAGAGAAGCAGUGCUUGAAAUGCUCCAUGACAUUCUUACCAGAUUUCCCCAGAGGAUUAUUGAUGAGCAGGGUCAAACCUUUUUUCUUCAUCUUGUAGUUGCUCUAGCCAAUGAACAGCAUCAGAAUGUGUCUUCAAUGAUCCUUAGAGCUAUUCAAAAGCUGUUAGGACGCAUUGGUGGUCAGGGAAAGAGUUACAUUUAUGAGUAUUCACUUUCGUGGUACACUGGUGAGAAGAAAAGUUUGUGGAGUGCUUCAGCUCAGGUUACCAUUUAGUAGCUUUGCUAUAUUUUUGCAUAUACUAAAAAAAGAUAUAUUGUACAUCAGCAGUGGACUGGGUUGGUGGUUGCAAUUUGCUUUUGCAUUUGGGUGUUAUUGAAGUACUUACUACUUAGCCCCUUUAUGCUUAUGUUUCAAAGUACUAUUGUCCUUUUACAUCAACUGUUGAAGUGGUUCUUGUGCUUUAUAGGUUAUUGGUUUACUUGUUGGCGAUCACACAUUACAAAUGGGCAAGCACCUUAAAAGUAUUCUGGCUGUUGUUAAGAAAAUAAUGGAAUCAUCUAUUAUUGCUUCUGGAGCUAUACAAUUAGGCUUAUCUGAUGAAGCUGCCCUGCCAUUGUGGAAAGAGACUUACUACUCUGUUGCCAUGAUGGAGAGGUUACUUCUUCGCUUUCCGGAGUUGUAUUUUGAGAAAAACAUGGAGGUAUGAUUACCUUCGUGCACUACUACUAUAUCAAAUUGCAGAUGUAUGUAUUUUGUUUUUUUAUCUAGAUCUUGCCAUGUGAGGGGCAGGCCUGGUGCAGUGGUGAGGGCUGUCUCACUGAGUCGCCAGGUCGUGGGUUUGAAGCAGUCUCCAUACAUUUGCUAGGGCAAGGCUUGUCUUGGUUUAUCCCUUUCUCAAACCCCACUUGCCAUGUCUGCCGUUUAUCUCGAUCUUGCCAUGUGAGAGCCUUUGACACAGAGUCUGUCCCCUAGAUCUUGCCAUGUCUUUUAUGUUGCUUUAUCUCAUGCCUCAGUUGCUUAAACGUAAGGCAAUAGUCAACCGUCACGCCUCGCUUUACUGCUUUGAUAAUGUUGUCAAACAAUCAUAUUCUUUAUCUCCAGCAUUUUUUUUGCUGCCAUGUCUUUUUACCAAUUUAAUGAGAUUUAUACUAGUUGACUCAAGUAUUCAAGGCACUUGUUGACCAUUUACUUAAGUAUUGGGGCCUCAGAUUUAUUUGUUCUUAAACAUAGUAUUUGUUUCAAGCCUUGAACUGGUCAUGUCGGUUGCAACAUCAAGUUUAUGACACCAAUUGUAAUUUGCAGGACAUAUGGAUAAUAUUAUGCAAGUUGUUGAUCCAUCCUCAUUCGAUGUUGCGUAGUAUUUCAAGCUCUCUGGUAGCAUCAUAUUUUGCUACAGUGGAGAAGAGGAAACAUGAACAGAAAUUGGAUGCCCCAUCAUGGUUGCUUGUUCAACCGAGCAGGCUAUUCAUAAUAGCUGUUUCCUUGUUGAAACAAUUGAGGAGUGAGCUGAGUGAUACUACGGCAAAUAAUCUGAUUGUACAGAAUGUUGCAUACUCAGUCUGCAACUUGCAUAUGUUGAUUAGGCAAUCGACCUCCACACAUCAGUUUUGGUCUAGCAUUAGUUCUGAUCGUGGUGCUUUCCUUGAGGGUUUUGAAUUGCUUGGUUCAAGAAAAGCAAAAAUAUAUUUCUCCUUUGUACUUCAACAUCUAGUGAUGUAUCUGGAUCUAGCCUCGACACCAACGAAGAGCCUACAUCUUUGUUAGUUUCGUCAAUCCUAAAGAAGAUGGGAAGAAUUGCAAUGCAAAUGCAGGAUACACAGGUAAGCUCCAUUACAUCAGCCAAGUCAUUCCCUUGUAUGUUUCUCAGGAUGGUGGCUUGCAAUUCAUAUGUAUUACUUAUUUUUCAUCCAUAUGCAGAUAAAGAACGUGUUCAAUUGCUUCAAUAUGAUUUCAUCAGCUCUUGGUCCUGAUGAAUCACUAACCUAUGCUGAUCACCUCUUGGCCCCAUUGUAUAAAGUUUCUGAAGGAUUUGCUGGGAAAGUUGUUAGUGGUAUGUUAAUAUUCCUGUCUUGGUAUUGUUCAUUAUUUGUUUUCAGCAUAUCGGAGGUGUGUAGGCAAGUUCAGUGCUUGGGCUUGCCAUCUGUCUGAGUACCGUUCUUUUGUUGUGGUUUCAGAUGAAGUGAAGCAACUGGCCCAGGGGUCCAGAACAAGUUACGUGACCUGAUUGGUUCCGAGAAAUUUGUUGAAGUCUACAAGAGCGUUCGGAUGGGCCUGAAACAGAAGCGGGACGGUAGAAAGCAGGCACAGAAGAUUGUUGCAGCCGUGGACCCAGAACGCAAUGCCAAGCGAAAGCAGCGAAUGGCAGCCANNNNNNNNNNNNNNNNNNNNNNNNNNNNNNNNNNNNNNNNNNNNNNNNNNNNNNNNNNNNNNNNNNNNNNNNNNNNNNNNNNNNNNNNNNNNNNNNNNNNUUUAGUGAAGAAAGUUCUUCUUCAACAUAUGGAUGUUCUUAUCCAUAGUCUCCAUGAUUUGUUAAUCAUCGCAAAGAGCUCAACAGUACUCACGCCAUCACUAUGUAAUACUACUGUGCAGAAGCAAACUUGACCACUUCAAUAUACUAAAAUACUUCUUUCACUGUACUUGUUCAUGCACCGGGGAAUGUGAUCGUAUAUUUUUAAAAAGGGCAGACCUAGUGCUGGAGGCUCUCAUAUGAGUGGGAUCUGGGAAUGGUAAGCAAGGCAAGCCUCUCCGCAAAUGCGGAGAGGUUGCUUCGAACCCACAGUCUGGUGACUAAGUGAGACAGUUCUCACCCUGCACUAUGCCUGCCCUACUAUUGAAGAAAUCAAAUGCAUAGUUUAUUGUGAGUUUCACUCUACCCCCAAUUAAAUGCCUUGAAGGAAGAAGAUUAUUUGUAGCAUUCUAUUUAAUUGGUUAUGGAUGGUGAUUUCACAGUGAGUUUGCUUUGAACUAUUUGCUUGGUUAGUGCACAUUUUUUGGGCUAUGGACAAGCACAGUCUAUCAAAUGAGAGUGAUCUUAAAAAUUACCAAUAUGUGAGUCAUUUAAUUUAUUGUCCAUGAUAUAAAAUGUAUUUGUGGAUCUAAAACUGUUAAAAAGAAUCACACCGUGGAUAUUAGCCUUUUAUAAUGUUUUGUUCAUCUAUUAUGGUGGUUAAACAUCUCUUAUGAGAGACUCAGGACUUCAGUGACAUUUUUUAGAUGUAUCUGUUUUAUCAAGCAAGCGUAUAAAUUUUCUUAGACUCUUCAUUGCUUGGGCCGAUCCUCUCUUUAAAAUUUUUGUUCCACAUUGCGUCACAUUAAUCUCUUCGGACAUGUUUACAGCAUAUUUGGGAGCAUAUGCAUGAGACUUAAUAAGCUUGAAUGAAUUUCCUGCAUUCUUAAUAUAUACAGGAGAUCUGGUACAUGGCUUGGGCAACGUGAACUUAGGCUGUUCAAAUUAUUGCUAAAUUACAUCACAGAUCCCUCAGCUGCUGAUAACUUCAUAGACCUUAUUCUUCCAUUUUUCAGCAAGAAAGAUUUGAACUCCGGUAAGCCUUUUAUUGAUUAGCCUGCAUAUCAAAUUAUUGUUCUUUUUUUUUCUUUGCAAAUGCCCAACCUUGACAUGGUAUGGCCUUUUUGUCUCAUCUUUUAUAUCACAGACGAUUGUUUGGAAGCACUAUGUGUUGUGAGGGGAAUAAUUCAAAAUCUGAGAUGCAAAGUAUCUGAAAAAGUUCUAAAUGCACUGACCCAUUACUUGCAAUUGUUGGAUUGGAACUGCGACUAUGUAUCUGUGAUAUUUAUGCUGGGUUGUCAUUGAAUGAUCCUUCGAUGUUGUUUCUGGUAAUUAUCACUCUAUUGUGAUGUCAAUUAUGUAAACUUCGCCAUGUUGCCUGUUCCUGUUUCACAGUUUCUUGUGGCAAUUUGCAUUUUUAACAGGCUGGGUUAAUAGGAGAUCUGAAUGCAGUUUCAGCUUCAGAACUUGGUGAACUAGAUUAUGACACAAGACUUAACACCUAUGAUAAGGUUAGGCCACAAUUGUUUCUUGGCUUGACAGAAGAGCAUGUGGGCGCCAUAUUAUCUCAUUGUGUGUAUGAUAUGUCAUCUGAAGAAUUAAUUUUGCGGCAAAGUGCAUCUAGGGCUCUGCAGUCGUUCCUGGACUUUUCCGCCUCAGUUAUGAAUAAUGAUGUGUCCAAAUACUCUAUUGAUGAUAAAUUUAGAGAGAAUAAUACCAGAAGCAUUUGCACGAUGGGCUGUAUUCAGAAGAUAUUGGAAAAAACUUAUCUGCACAAUAUGGGAGUAGCAAUGACUAAAGAUGUAUCAAUUCAAAAGGUGCGCAUAUAUAUAUUUUUAUUUUGUAGUCUAUCAAACUGUUGGUUGAAGGGCUGCAAUUGAUGUUGUAUUCAGGAAUGGAUUAUUUUACUUAGGGAGAUGGUCUCCAAUUUUAAUCAUUUAGCAUCCUUAAGCUCAUUUAGGCCUCUCUGUAAGGUGGAUAUAGAAGAGGAUUUUUUCCACAACAUAACUCAUUUACAGGUAAUGUGCUUGGUUCACUUAUACCAAAGGUCAGAUGAUGGACUGUAAAGCUCAUUUAUAUUUACUAAUGCAGGCUGGUAAAAGAUCAAAAGCACUGUUGCUUUUUAGACAGGGAAUCAAGGAAAACAACUUUUCAGAGGUAAAUGAUGAGAGAAUACUCUAGUUGAUGUCAGUAUGAUAUGUGCAUAUUUGGAAAUUAAUUUGCUGACAGUUGAUCAUUUGUUUCAUCUGUUGAAUUGAAAAGAUAAUACUUGUUUUGUGGACCCGUAUGCUAGUACCAGGUUUUUUUCUUUAAAAAAUAGAUACUUUGUCUCUUUGCUUUGUCAAGCUAGUAUGGCUUCGCAAAUGUUUAUAUAAUAUUGCUGAAGGGAUGUGAGCCUAUUUUCCCUUUACCUUAAAGGUCCUAGGAGAUUGGUGUCACAUGCCAGCUUUUCUUUGAAACUGUGCAACAGUGUACUGAUCUUGCAUCACAGGCAACAGAAAUUUGUCUUCUAAGGGCAGUACAAUUCUGUCUUGCAAUACUGUGUUAACAAAGGAAAUCUUAAUAGUUGAUGACUACGGGUGUGUUUGGUUGGAUGUACAUGGUGGAUGGGAGGGGGCGGCCACAGUUUCUAUAGUGUUUGGAUGAGAGUCACGUAGGGGCGAGGUAAACACAAGAGUAGUUUUUGGUGGCGACGUGAUCCCAAAAAAUCGAGGGACGGUGUCGCCCUCGUCUCAUCCACUUUGACCUCAAACCAAACACAUACUACAAGAAUGUUAAUGUGUUAUGGCCAUCUAGUUUGUUAGCACUCAGCAGUCAGCACUUAGAAAAAUGAGAUGUUCAAAGAGUACAUUUUUCUGUAAAGAAAAACACUUGCUGCUACAGUGUAUUUGUUUCCACCAUUGUUUCUUGCAUUUGCAGAAAAUCUACCAGCAAAAUUGAUGGCAUUUUCUUUUUGUUUAGAUGCAUUUUUUACUUUACAUAAAAAGCAUUCUGCACAUAAAUCACAGCUCACCAAUCUUCGUUUCAUGCACCUGUUGCAUAACUAAAUAGUAACUUGUGCAGGUAGUGUCCAGUGAACUGAACUCGUUAUAUUCUCCGGUUUAUUUUUUCAUUAACAUCACUUCUUGUGCUUUCAUUUAGGAUAUCACUAUGAAAGUCUUUGUUCCACUAUUUUUCAAUAUGUUUUCUGACGUAAAAGCUGGGAAUUGUUUCUUGCAUUUGCAGAAAAUCUACCAGCAAAAUUGAUGGCAUUUUCUUUUGUUUAGAUGCAUUUUUUACUUUACAUAAAAAGCAUUCUGCACAUAAAUCACAACUCACCAAUCUUCGUUUCAUGCACCUGUUGCAUAACUAAAUAGUAACUUGUGCAGUAGUGUCCAGUGAACUGAACUCGUUAUCUUCUCCGGUUUAUUUUUUCAUUAACAUCACUUCUUGUGCUUUCAUUUAGGAUAUCACUAUGAAAGUCUUUGUUCCACUAUUUUUCAAUAUGUUUUCUGACGAAAAGCUGGGAAAGGCGAACAAGUCAGAGAUAUAUGUUUGGAUACACUAUCUGCUGUUGCUGCCAAAGUGCAGUGGGAACACUAUAGAACAAUAUUGAAGAGAUGCUUCCGAGAAUUAAACCUUAGACCUGAUAAGCAGAAGAUCAUAUUGAGGCUGAUUUGUUCCAUAUUAGAUGCAUUCCAUUUCAUGAAACCUGCAAAUGAUGCCUCAGGAAAUUCUGAUGCUUUGAGUGAAGAUAUUGAUUCUUCCCUUACAUUCUCUUUGGUCACAGUCUCUUCUGAUAAGCAACAGUACAUGCAAAAGGUAGUGUUUCCACAGGUUCAAAAGUUGUUAGGAUCAGAUCCAGAGAAAGUCAACGUCAACAUAAACCUGGUAGCACUGAAAAUACUUAAGUUGCUACCGGUGGAUUAUUUUGAGUCCCAACUUUCAAGCAUCAUUCAUCGAAUCUGUAACUUCCUCAAGAAUCGUCUUGAAAGCAUACGUGAUGAAGCUAGGUCUGCUUUAGCUGCUUCUGUUAAGGAACUGGGGAUUGGGUAUUUGCAGUUUGUGGUCAAGAUAUUAAGAGCUAUACUUAAAAGAGGUUUUGAGUUACAUGUUCUGGGCUACACACUUCAUUAUUUGUUGUCAAAAAACAUUACUGCUGAUAUGUAUGGUAGGCUUGACUACUGUUUAGAAGAUUUGUUGGCAGUGGUUGACAGUGAUUUACUUGGAGAUGUUGCAGAACAAAAGGAAGUUGAAAAACUUGCCUCCAAAAUGAAAGAGACAAGAAGAGAAUGUCGUUUGAGACUCUUAAGCUGAUUGCUCAAAGUAUUACAUUCAAGACCGAUUUACUGAAGAAGAUAAUCUCACCUGUUUCUUUACAUCUUCAGAAGCAACUUACUCCAAAGUUGAAAACCAGACUUGAGAUGAUGCUACACAACAUAGCCUUAGGGAUUGAGUGCAACUCAUCUACUGAAACAUCAAACUUGUUUAU